UGGUUUGCAGUUUUGCUGCUGCAGUUCCUGGUACUCAGCUGGCUUUCUCGGUAGAACCAUGACUCUUCACUUAAAAGCUGGUGCAAAGAAACACCUUAGCUGCUUCCUGAAACUCCUGAGCUCAAGUGAUGGUGGCCUUUUGCCUUCUCAUGUAGACAUGUAUGCCUUCCUGUCCUAGGCAAAGCCAUGGGUGAGCAGAACUUCCUGGGCUGUUCUUCUAAGACCUGUCUCCUGGAAGGGAUGAGGUGAAUUGACACAUGAGCCAGCUUCAGCUGUGCUUGUACUCUUCCCUAUUGCACUCUUGCUUUUCCCAGUUCCCAACAGACACUUCUCUUGGCCUAAAAGCAGUCAUAUUUUGCUGAUUGAGAGUAGUGGCAGACCUCUGUAUCAGUGGAAUAGGAGGGGAGCAUGUUUGCUACGAAGUCCUUGUAGCAUGGCUCUGUAUGUCAGGGAAAAGAGACAGAAGAGACUACUGAGUUUGAUAGUGGGUCUUUCAAGACGUGGCGUAGAAAACUUGUCUUUGAGCUAAGGGCUGGCUAGCUGAUGCUGGAAUGAUGAACAGAGCCUGUCCCUUGCUCUUUCAGGUGCAGUGUGUUCGAGGAAAUAACCAUCUGUGAGCGAACAAGAGUGGAGCACCACUUUCCUUCAGGAACCUACUUCCAGCACCAUUAAUUUACCUUACCUGCCCUCUGUGGUCAGAAGUUCAACGGCAGGGAUCUGUCCCCACAGUGAUUUCCAUCACUCAUGGGAUACACUGCCAGUACAUUUUCACUGGCAAGGCAUGGACAUUUAGAUGAUUAUAGAUUCACAGUUAUUGUCUGAGCUAAAAAAAUCUUACUGCUGUUAAAGAAUGAAAACUGAGGUUGCCUCUUACCUCCAGAUAUGACCCUUGUGCAGAAAAGGUCUUCUGAUCUCUUGGCAUUGCUAACACAGGUGUCCCACAAGCAAAAACUUCUCAGAAGGCAGGACUUUGUGGUCAUGUCCCUUGGGAACGAGGGCAGGAGCUUUUCUGCAGGCACCAUUGUAGCACAUGCAUGGGCUGCAACAUCUCCUUUUGAUAGAUGUAAUGAAAUCAGUGAAAGGCCAGCCCUCUCCAGUAUACAUGGGAUGCCUAUAUGCUAAUCAUAUGUGCACUUCUCUAAAAAAAAGCAAAGAACCGCCCUCCCCCCUCCUCCCCCCCGCAAAAUAGAUUACAGGUACUUUAAGCUCCUUGCUGCAUGUAUGCAAAUAACUUCACACCUAAAAGCUGAUGUGGCAUCUGUUGUGCAGAUGUUUAUCUGGCACUAGGGAGUAAUAUUUUCUUUGUCCACAUUACUCAAGUCUUUCGUGGCCUCAAAUAGCUGACUCGAGCACUUGUUGCUCCAACAUACCAAUGAUAGUUGCUACGGAUGUUCCCUUCCAACUCCCAUGUCUGAGAGUUUGGUCUGAAAUACCACAACCAUGUCCAAGAGCAAAUCUCUCCUUGCUGUGACUGAAGCCUGAAAUCACACUGGAGUCCUCCUUCUGUUCGUGUUCAGCCACGUCCUCACAUUUGUGGAGUCCCAGCCUCCAAGUACACUGACAGGCUCCAAAACUGCCUCCCUUGGAGGGAACAAGCUCAAAUGGAAAACGUUAUCAUCAAGCCCUUUUUGCACUCCUGCACCAAGAAAUAUUUUGACUCGUUGUCUAUUUGCAUGCUAUGUUCUCCAUGGCCACCCUCCCCAAGCUAUUAGUUACAGUAGCUUCGCUAAGUGAGAACCAGGGAUUCCUUAGGUAAGAUACCACCUUCCUUCUACAUUGUACAAGGGACAUCAAGCAUUAGAAAGGGGGAAUGUUGCAAAUAGCAAGAGGCAAAGUACACCAAGGAGGAGGCAGACUCUAUACAAGUGGACCACUGGUUUUGUCGUUGGAUUUUGCUUGGAGACUGAAGAUUUAUGCAGCAGCAGGGACAGGGAGGGAGCUUUCCCUGCACUGCUUAGAGACAGUACUUACAGUGGUAGGAAUGUGCAGAGUAGAAAUUCUCCUUUUGUAGACUUUGAGGUUGUUCAGAAACUCUGAGACAGCAAAAAAGGGAGCUAUGUCUGAAGGGAAGACAGGAAAACCUUGGGGUAUUAGACUGGGCCUUGCUCCAUACAGGGACUUUGUGGCAGUUCAUUUGAGUGUUGCCUCAGCAGAAAGUAGAAAUGUGGCCACCCUUUCAAUGCAGAGCAUCUGCAGUAGUUGUAGGAUGAGGAAAGAAGUGAGGAGUUAUGUUGAUUUGGACUUGUGCAAUAAUUUGGGGGAUGAGUAGGAACAACCACAGCUCCCUGCUGCAGCUGGGGCAGUGUCAGGAGAUCUGUCCGCGCACACAGCAAGCAUGUCCUACGCAGACCUCCGGCACCUCAGUUUGUCCCUGCGGAAGGAGGGAAACUGCUGACUUUUCACUCUCUAUGAAAAGGUAGUAAAACCUGCAUUUAUGGCAGAA